AUGACCUUCAUCAUCAUCUUCAUCUGGACUCUCACAGCAUUUGCUCAAGAGUGUAGAGGACAGAUCACCGUCACUCAGAGUCCCUCAAUGACAGCAGCUCAACCAGGACAAACUGUGAACAUCAACUGUAAAUCCAGCAGAGAUGUGCAGAGAUGGCCUAGUGGGGUUGAAGGUUUAGCCUGGUACUUACAGAAACCUGGAGAAGCUCCUAAACUCCUGAUUUAUUAUGUAAAAAAACUCCAGUCAGGAACUCCAUCUAGAUUCAGUGGCAGUGGAUCUAACAGUGAUUUCACUCUGACCAUCAGUGGAGUCCAGACUGAAGAUGCUGGACAUUAUUACUGUCAGAGUUAUCACUGCACAACAAAUUGGCUUGGUGUUUGUAAUGCUGAUUAUGUGUUCACACAGUGAUAAAGAGUCGUACAAAAACCUCCGUCA